rnacentral:lncRNA from 1 species
GAAAAAAAAAUGAAACUCCAUGGGCACUAGCACCCAUGGUUUAUUGAUAUAGAAGAAGCAUCCCUAAUGAGAAACCAGAAAUUCGUCCCCGACGUGGAUCGAACCCUGGUUGCUGAAGACGCCACUGCGCUCCCUUGCCACUAGGCUACAACCUAGUUCUCAGUGUGUCGUAAUGAUGCGGGUACAUAUAUAUCUGGGUAGAUCCACUCUUGUGGUCAAGGGUAUUACCC